CUCAGUGUCUUCAAAGGAUAGUCCCAUGGACUUCCACAGCUGUGAGGUCUCCUCCUGUAUUUUCUCACUCCCCUCUUGUCUCUCCUUUCCUUUUUGCCUCUGGUCCUCAUGUCCCUCCCUCUCCAUUUCUUUGUGUAUUUCAAUUUUUACCUCUUUUUUUCGCUCCAUCUCCACUCUCACUUUCUCAAUCUCCUCUCUCUUUCUCACUAUAUCUGCUUUAGCUCUCUCCAUGUCUAUCCUUCUUUCCUGUUCCUCUCUUUUUUGCUCUGUCUCCACUCUCACUUUCUCAAUAUCCUGUCUUCUUUUUUCUAUCGCCUGUUUCUCCCUCUCCAUUUCUUUGUAUCUUUCCAUCUCUGAUCUCCUUCUCUCCACUUCCUUGUUUCUCCACUUUUGCUCCAUCUCCUCUCUCUUUCUCACCAUCUCUGCUUCAGCUUUCUCCAUCUCUAUCCUUCUUUCCUGUUCCUGUCUUUUUUGCUUUUCCUCCAUCCUCACUUUCUCAAUCUCCUUUCCCUUCCUCUCCAUCUCUGCUCUCCUCACCACUUCCUCUUUUCUUAGAAUCUCAUCUUUUAUUAGCUUCACUUCCUUCUCCAGUCUCCCCACCUCCUUCCUUGUUCUCUCCAGCUCCAUCCUUCUUCUCUCCAUCUCACUCUUUCUCUCUAUCCCUGUUAGCCCCCUGUUCAUCUCCAUCCUCACCUUCGCUCUGGCAUACCUGUUUGGUGAAAAUUCACUCAAGUUACCUCAGGACUAUAAGUAUAUUCACUCAACAACAAUGUUUGUGCUGACUCAUGUCCUGGC
ensembl:lncRNA